GACGAACGCUGGCGGCGUGCCUAAUACGUGCAAGUAGAACGCACAGUAUAUACCGUAGCUUGCUACACCAUAGACUGUGAGUUGCGAACGGGUGAGUAACGCGUAGGUAACCUGCCUGGUAGCGGGGGAUAACUAUUGGAAACGAUAGCUAAUACCGCAUAAUAUUAAUUAUUGCAUGAUAAUUGAUUGAAAGAUGCAACUGCAUCACUACCAGAUGGACCUGCGUUGUAUUAGCUAGUAGGUGAGGUAACGGCUCACCUAGGCGACGAUACAUAGCCGACCUGAGAGGGUGAUCGGCCACACUGGGACUGAGACACGGCCCAGACUCCUACGGGAGGCAGCAGUAGGGAAUCUUCGGCAAUGGACGAAAGUCUGACCGAGCAACGCCGCGUGAGUGAAGAAGGUUUUCGGAUCGUAAAGCUCUGUUGUAAGAGAAGAACGGGUGUGAGAGUGGAAAGUUCACACUGUGACGGUAUCUUACCAGAAAGGGACGGCUAACUACGUGCCAGCAGCCGCGGUAAUACGUAGGUCCCGAGCGUUGUCCGGAUUUAUUGGGCGUAAAGCGAGCGCAGGCGGUUAGAUAAGUCUGAAGUUAAAGGCUGUGGCUUAACCAUAGUACGCUUUGGAAACUGUUUAACUUGAGUGCAGAAGGGGAGAGUGGAAUUCCAUGUGUAGCGGUGAAAUGCGUAGAUAUAUGGAGGAACACCGGUGGCGAAAGCGGCUCUCUGGUCUGUAACUGACGCUGAGGCUCGAAAGCGUGGGGAGCGAACAGG
rnacentral:rRNA from 1 species